AGUUUGAUCAUGGCUCAGAUUGAACGCUGGCGGCAUGCUUUACACAUGCAAGUCGAGCGGCAGCGCGGGGGCAACCCUGGCGGCGAGCGGCGAACGGGUGAGUAACAUAUCGGAACGUACCCCGUCGUGGGGGAUAACACAGCGAAAGCUGUGCUAAUACCGCAUACGACCUGAGGGUGAAAGCGGGGGAUCGCAAGACCUCGCGCGAUGGGAGCGGCCGAUAUCGGAUUAGCUUGUUGGUGAGGUAAAGGCUCACCAAGGCGACGAUCCGUAGCUGGUCUGAGAGGACGACCAGCCACACUGGAACUGAGACACGGUCCAGACUCCUACGGGAGGCAGCAGGUGGGGUAAUUUUGGACAAUGGGGGCAACCCUGAUCCGGCCAUUCCGCGUGAGUGAAGAAGGCCUUCGGGUUGUAAAGCUCUUUCAGCAGGAACGAAACGGUGGCCACUAAUACUGGCUACUAAUGACGGUACCUGAAGAAGAAGCACCGGCUAACUACGUG
rnacentral:rRNA from 1 species